AAAUGAUCAAAACAAUCGCUGUGAAACACAAAAUGUUAAUUGUUACUUUUAUUAGAAAUUAUAUAUACUGGUAGAGAAUUUGUCAAAGUAGAUCGUACAUUAUGUAUAUAAUUCCAUUAUAUUGUAGAGUUGCUUGUUAUACGAAGAUAGACUUGACAAUUAUAUGGCAGUUCGUGUGUCACGUUCUGAAAUACCGACAUUGAAAGAGAUCAGAGAUCA
rnacentral:misc_RNA from 1 species